rnacentral:rRNA from 1 species
AGAGUUUGAUCCUGGCUCAGGAUGAACGCUAGCUACAGGCUUAACACAUGCAAGUCGAGGGGAAACGAUAGAGAAAGCUUGCUUUUUCUAGGCGUCGACCGGCGCACGGGUGAGUAACGCGUAUCCAACCUGCCCACCACUUGGGGAUAACCUUGCGAAAGUAAGACUAAUACCCAAUGACGUCUCUAGAAGACAUCUGAAAGGGAUUAAAGAUUUAUCGGUGAUGGAUGGGGAUGCGUCUGAUUAGCUUGUUGGCGGGGUAACGGCCCACCAAGGCAACGAUCAGUAGGGGUUCUGAGAGGAAGGUCCCCCACAUUGGAACUGAGACACGGUCCAAACUCCUACGGGAGGCAGCAGUGAGGAAUAUUGGUCAAUGGGCGAGAGCCUGAACCAGCCAAGUAGCGUGCAGGAUGACGGCCCUAUGGGUUGUAAACUGCUUUUAUAAGGGAAUAAAGUGAGUCUCGUGAGGCUUUUUGCAUGUACCUUAUGAAUAAGGACCGGCUAAUUCCGUGCCAGCAGCCGCGGUAAUACGGAAGGUCCGGGCGUUAUCCGGAUUUAUUGGGUUUAAAGGGAGCGUAGGCCGGAGAUUAAGCGUGUUGUGAAAUGUAGAUGCUCAACGUCUGCACUGCAGCGCGAACUGGUUUCCUUGAGUACGCACAAAGUGGGCGGAAUUCGUGGUGUAGCGGUGAAAUGCUUAGAUAUCACGAAGAACUCCGAUUGCGAAGGCAGCUCACUGGAGCGCAACUGACGCUGAAGCUCGAAAGUGCGGGUAUCGAACAGGAUUAGAUACCCUGGUAGUCCGCACGGUAAACGAUGGAUGCCCGCUGUUGGUCUGAAUAGGUCAGCGGCCAAGCGAAAGCAUUAAGCAUCCCACCUGGGGA